AGCUUUGCCCAGUGGCAGUAUCAUAGCCAAUGAGGUUUAUCUGAGGCAUGAUUAUUGCUACUUGAAAAAUUCCAUAAGACUCAGCUAUCCCCCUUCCAGGUAUCUUCUCCAAAGAGUUUAAGACAUCAUACUGU
rnacentral:snRNA from 1 species